GAGUAACACGUGGGCAAUCUGCCCUAAAGACUGGGAUACCACUUGGAAACAGGUGCUAAUACCGGAUAACAACAUGAAUCGCAUGAUUCAAGUUUGAAAGGCGGCGCAAGCUGUCACUUUAGGAUGAGCCCGCGGCGCAUUAGCUAGUUGGUGGGGUAAAGGCCUACCAAGGCAAUGAUGCGUAGCCGAGUUGAGAGACUGAUCGGCCACAUUGGGACUGAGACACGGCCCAAACUCCUACGGGAGGCAGCAGUAGGGAAUCUUCCACAAUGGACGCAAGUCUGAUGGAGCAACGCCGCGUGAGUGAAGAAGGUCUUCGGAUCGUAAAGCUCUGUUGUUGGUGAAAAAGGAUAGAGGCAGUAACUGGUCUUUAUUUGACGGUAAUCAACCAAAAAGUCACGGCUAACUACGUGCCAGCAGCCGCGGUAAUACGUAGGUGGCAAGCGUUGUCCGGAUUUAUUGGGCGUAAAGCGACCGCAGGCGGAAUGAUAAGUCUGAUGUGAAACCCCACGGCUCAACCGUGGAACUGCAU
rnacentral:rRNA from 1 species